GGAUCCAGACUUUGAUUCUGGCUCAGGAUUAACGCUGGCGGCGCACAUAAGACAUGCAAGUCGAACGGAAGUCGUUAUAACUCAGAACGAAGAUUUAUCUGAGGGACGAGAUAUAACAAUGGCUUUAGUGGCGGACUGGUGGGUAACACGUAAGAAACCUGCCUAUUAGAGGGGAAUAACAACGAGAAAUCGUUGCUAAUACCGCAUAAGCUGGUAGUACCGCAUGGUACAGCUAGAAAAGGAGAAAUCCGCUAAUAGAUGGUCUUGCGUCCGAUUAGCUAGUUGGUGGGGUAACGGCCUACCAAGGCAACGAUCGGUAGCCGAGCUGAGAGGCUCAACGGCCACAUUGGGACUGAGAUACGGCCCAGACUCCUACGGGAGGCAGCAGUCGGGAAUAUUGCGCAAUGGAGGAAACUCUGACGCGGUGACGCCGCGUAUAGGAAGAAGGUUUUCGGAUUGUAAACUAUUUUAGACAGGGAAGAAAUUGACAGUACCUGUAGAAUAAGCUCCGGCUAACUACGUGCCAGCAGCCGCGGUAAUACGUAGGGAGCAAGCGUUAUCCGGAUUUAUUGGGUGUAAAGGGUGCGUAGACGGGAGAACAAGUUAGUUGUGAAAGCCCUCGGCUUAACUGAGGAACUGCAACUAAAACUAUUUUUCUUGAGUGCAGGAGAGGAAAGCGGAAUUCCUAGUGUAGCGGUGAAAUGCGUAGAUAUUAGGAGGAACACCAGUGGCGAAGGCGGCUUUCUGGACUGUAACUGACGUUGAGGCACGAAAGUGUGGGGAGCAAACAGGAUUAGAUACCCUGGUAGUCCACACCGUAAACGAUGGAUACUAGGUGUAGGAGAUGAUUUCAUCAUCUGUGCCGAAAGCAAACGCAAUAAGUAU
rnacentral:rRNA from 1 species